CCUACGGGAGACAGCAGUGGGGAAUAUUGCACAAUGUAGGGAACCCUGAUGCAGCGACGCCGCGUGCGUGAAGAAGUAUUUCUGUGUGUAAAGCUCUGUCAGCAGGGGAGAAAACCGACGGUACCUGACCCAGCAGCCCCGGCUAACUACGUGCCAGCAGCCGAGGUCAUACGUAGGGGGCAAGCGUUAUCCGGGUUUACUGGGUGUACAGGGAUCGUAGACGGCAGGGGAAGUCUGGAGUGAAAGGCAGGGGCCCAACCCCUGGACUGCCUUGGAAACUGUCCGGCUGGAGUGCAGGAGAGGUAAGUGGAAUGUCUAGUGUAGCGGUGAAAUGCGUAGAUAUUAGGAGGAACACCAGUGGCGAAGGCGGCUUACUGGACUGUAACUGACGUUGAGGCUCGAAAGCGUGGGGAGCAAACAGGAUUAGAUACCCGUGUAGUC
rnacentral:rRNA from 1 species